CAAGCUCUCCAUAUCCAUCUCCACUCACGGUGUGUACCAUCAAUCCCCGGAUUAGAACGAUCCCUAUUUACCGUAUACUAACGAUGACAUUUCAGGGUUAAAUUAUGCGCUUGCUUUUAGCGUAUCAUAGAGAAAGGAGGUGUUGAAAAUGUGCACAAAUGGGGUUGGUACAAACUCCAGAUUGUAGCAAAUGCUACAGUGGGAGUUGAUUACUUUUUGCAAGCUGCAACUCUGCAAGAAUUGGCUGCACCCAUUGCUUCCUUGACAGUUGUAAAAUUCGUGAGGAGCACCAUAAUAAUAGUGAUGAUACAGUUCGUGAUAAAUGUAAUGAACUCAUCGUUUCUACUUGUGAAGAGGAUCAUUGCUAUGGCUGCACAUUCAGCUCCGCUUGCUGCCUUCCAGACUUUACAUAACAACUAUACUUCUAUUGCGAAAGUUGGUGUUUUACAAUGCUCAUGGAGAAGUUGGUAGCUCUCUUUGUUUUCUAGCUACCAUUACUACAGGCAUGACGGCAUGCCUUAUUUUAGGGGGGCAGAAUUGUUAGGAUUCUUAUUCUUAUCAUAGGCUAUUUUGUCUUGUGGGCUUUGUUGGGCCAUGUUACGUGUUAUCCUUUUGGGUCAUGGUCCAGAUAGUGGGUUCUAGGUAGUUUCUACACCCAGUUGCUUAAAUAGUAGGGAUGCAUUGUUGUAAGCAUCAUUGAAGAAUAUUGAAACUUACAUUUGCUUAAUUUCUCUUUGUUUUCCUUUCCUUCCUUUUGCAACCAAUGUCGUUUCAUGGCUACAACCUUGGGGAUCGUA